ACGGAGGGUGCGAGCGUUAAUCGGAAUCACUGGGCGUAAAGCGCACGUAGGCGGUGUCGUAAGUCGGAUGUGAAAGCCCUCGGCUCAACCGGGGAACUGCAUUCGAUACUGCGACGCUUGAGUGCCGGAGAGGGUGGCGGAAUUCCAGGUGUAGGGGUGAAAGCCGUAAAUAUCGGGAGGAAGACCAGUGGCGAAGGCGUCCACCUGGACGGCAACUGACGCUGAGUUGCGAAAGCGUGGGGAUAGAUCAG
rnacentral:rRNA from 1 species